GCGGCCUGGCCGUGGACGGUCAGAUAGCCUCUACCUCUCGCCGCCCAUCCCUGGCCCCAACCGGCACGGAGCAGACGGCGGCAGCGGCAGCAGCAGGCGAGGAGGAAGAUGGCGGGACGGUUGCCGGCCUGUGUGGUGGACUGUGGCACGGGGUAUACAAAACUAGGAUAUGCUGGAAAUACGGAACCACAGUUUAUCAUCCCUUCCUGUAUUGCUAUUAAGGAGUCAGCAAAAGUGGGUGAUCAAGCUCAAAGGAGGGUGAUGAAAGGUGUUGAUGACCUAGACUUCUUCAUUGGUGAUGAAGCAAUAGAAAAACCUACAUAUGCAACAAAGUGGCCAAUCCGCCAUGGUAUAGUUGAAGAUUGGGACUUGACGGAAAGGUUUAUGGAGCAAGUGAUCUUUAAAUAUUUAAGGGCGGAACCUGAAGACCAUUAUUUUCUUUUGACUGAACCUCCACUGAAUACUCCAGAAAACAGGGAAUAUACUGCUGAAAUAAUGUUUGAGUCCUUCAAUGUUCCAGGCUUGUACAUUGCUGUACAGGCUGUUCUUGCCUUAGCUGCAUCGUGGACCUCCAGACAAGUAGGAGAACGGACGUUGACCGGUACGGUAAUAGACAGUGGAGAUGGUGUCACUCAUGUCAUCCCUGUGGCUGAAGGGUAUGUGAUUGGCAGCUGUAUUAAGCACAUUCCAAUCGCAGGACGAGAUAUAACAUAUUUUAUUCAGCAAUUGCUGAGAGACAGAGAAGUAGGAAUUCCUCCAGAGCAAUCCUUGGAAACUGCUAAGGCAGUAAAGGAGCGCUAUAGUUAUGUCUGUCCAGAUUUAGUAAAAGAAUUUAACAAGUAUGAUACAGAUGGAUCAAAGUGGAUUAAACAGUAUACUGGAAUCAAUGCUAUCUCAAAGAAGGAAUUUUCCAUUGAUGUUGGAUAUGAGAGAUUCUUGGGACCUGAAAUAUUUUUUCAUCCAGAGUUUGCUAAUCCAGACUUUACUCAGCCUAUCUCAGAAGUUGUAGAUGAAGUAAUUCAGAAUUGUCCUAUUGAUGUCAGACGUCCUCUCUACAAGAAUAUUGUCCUCUCUGGAGGUUCAACCAUGUUCAGGGACUUCGGACGUCGCUUGCAAAGAGAUUUGAAAAGAACUGUAGAUGCCAGGCUGAAAUUAAGUGAGGAAUUGAGUGGUGGUAGACUGAAGCCAAAACCUAUUGAUGUACAAGUCAUUACACACCACAUGCAGCGAUAUGCAGUUUGGUUUGGAGGAUCCAUGCUGGCUUCCACACCUGAGUUCUACCAAGUAUGCCACACCAAAAAGGAUUAUGAAGAAAUUGGACCUAGCAUUUGUCGUCACAAUCCAGUGUUUGGAGUCAUGUCGUAAAAUUGGCUUCAUAGUUAUUGGGGUUAGGGAGGUGGGGAAGAAUAAUCUUUCUGAUUACCUGUUUUGUCUGGAUGGCUGGUUUUGAGGUUGUAAACCUGACUUGAAAUAAUAAGACCAAACAUAAUUAUACAGGAAUAUUUUAAUAAGUAUAUCAACAUGCGAAUGUAGAGGAGAGCCAAAAUGAUUGAGUGUUUUUCUUUAGAUUGAAUAUUUGAAUCUUAACGUGUAACAAAAAGAAGUGGGUUUUAGUUCUUUCUGUGCCCUGCUGUUUUGCAUAUUAUUGAAUUAUCCAAGAUUUGAUGGGAUUUAUCGGUAUGUCGAUAGCUCUAUAAUGCUUGAAUUGUACGCUCUGAAGUGUGCAGUGCAACAGCUUGUGUAUAUUUCAUACUUUUUAUACUUUGAGGAAAAAAAGUCAAAGAAAAACUAGUAUUUGAGGGAAAAAAAUGACCAAGUAAAGGAUAAAUACAAAAAAUAGCCUGUGAGACUUGGCAUACACACACACUCAUGGGAUUCCAGUUAUUAGGAAGUGCUUCCGUACCCUAUGCCCCCCAGUGGUUUUCUUUGCAAGUGCUUUUGGAACUAAGAAGCUAGUAUCUUGGAUUAACUGAUGCCUGCUAGUGCUUUCUGAUUCCUUGCAUCCUGUUUCUCGCUUUAAAGGACAAGUAAAGACAAGACUGUUGGACCAGUA